rnacentral:rRNA from 1 species
GGGGAAUAUUGAGCAAUGGAGGGAACUCUGACCCAGCAACGCCGCGUGAAUGAUGAAGGUCUUCGGAUUGUAAAGUUCUGUGACGGGGGACGAAGAAAGUGACGGUACCCCGAUAGCAAGCUACGGCUAACUACGUGCCAGCAGCCGCGGUAAUACGUAGGUAGCAAGCGUUGUCCGGAAUGACUGGGCGUAAAGGGUGCGUAGGUGGCUGAGCAAGUUGGUAGUGAAAUUCCGAGGCUUAACUUCGGCGCUACUACCAAGACUGCCCGGCUUGAGUACAGGAGAGGUAAGUGGAAUUCCUAGUGUAGCGGUGGAAUGCGUAGAUAUUAGGAGGAACACCGGUGGCGAAAGCGACUUACUGGCCUGCAACUGACACUGAGGCACGAAAGCGUGGGGAGCAAACAGGAUUAGAUACCCUGGUAGUCCACGCCGUAAACGAUGAUUACUAGGUAUGGGAGGUAUCGACUCCUUCCGUGCCGCAGCCAACGCAAUAAGUAAUCCGCCUGGGGAGUACGGCCGCAAGGUUGAAACUCAAAGAAAUUGACGGGGACCCGCACAAGCAGCGGAGCAUGUGGUUUAAUUCGACGCAACGCGAAAAACCUUACCAGGUCUUGACAUCCUUUGACCGCCUGAGAGAUCAGGAAUCUCUAGCAAUAGAGCAGAGAGACAGGUGGUGCAUGGUUGUCGUCAGCUCGUGUCGUGAGAUGUUCGGUUAAGUCCGACAACGAGCGCAACCCUUGUAUACAGUUGCCAAUAUUAAGUUAGGAACUCUGUAUAAACUGCCGUGGCUAACACGGAGGAAGGUGGGGAUGACGUCAAAUCAUCACGCCCCUUACGACCUGGGCCACACACGUGCUACAAUGGCUAUUACAAAGAGCAGCGAAACCGCGAGGUAGAGCGAAUCUCAAAAAGAUAGUCUCAGUUCAGAUUGUGGGCUGAAACCCGCCCACAUGAAGUCGGAGUUGCUAGUAAUCCCGGAUCAGCAUGCCGGGGUGAAUGCGUUCCC